rnacentral:rRNA from 1 species
UACGGGGGGAGCAAGCGUUGUUCGGAUUUACUGGGCGUAAAGGGCGCGUAGGCGGCCUCUGCAAGUCGACUGUGAAAUCUCCGGGCUUAACCCGGAAAGGUCAGCCGAUACUGCAGGGCUAGAGUGCAGAAGGGGCAACUGGAAUUCUCGGUGUAGCGGUGAAAUGCGUAGAGAUCGGGAAGAACAUCAGUGGCGAAGGCGGUCUGCUGGGCCGUUGCUGACGCUGAGGCGCGACAGCGUGGGGAGCAAACAGG